rnacentral:RNase_P_RNA from 1 species
UGAGUGGGCCAGACGAUCGCGCAUGCACAUGUGAGGAAAGUCCGGGCUCCCAAGGGCAGGAUGCCAGCUAACGGCUGGGCGAGGCGACUCGACGGAAAGUGCCACAGAAAAGAAAACUCCCCUGUUCAUCAGGAGAAAAGCUGAAACGGUGCGGUAAGAGCGCACCAGCGUUGCGGCAACGCAGCGGCUUGGCAAACCCCAUCUGGAGCAAGCGCAAAUAGGAACGCGACACGGCUGCCCUUCCGUGCGUUCGGGUUGCGUGCUUGAGGCGUGCGGCGACGUGCGUCCCAGAUAAAUGAUCGUCCGCGACAGAACCCGGCUUAUCGGCCCACUCAGGCU